rnacentral:ncRNA from 1 species
CGGGAAGCCGGUGAAAAUCCGGCACAGCCCCGCCUACGGUAAGGAUGACAAAGCAUGCAUAUGCCACUGGCCCAAAGCCGGGAAGGCGCAUGCGAAGGAUGAAUCCGAGUCCGGAUACCG